rnacentral:rRNA from 1 species
GGGUUAAGUCCCGCAACGAGCGCAACCCUUGUCAUUAGUUGCUACAUUCAGUUGGGCACUCUAAUGAGACUGCCGGUGACAAGCCGGAGGAAGGUGGGGAUGACGUCAAGUCCUCAUGGCCCUUAUAGGUGGGGCUACACACGUCAUACAAUGGCUGGUACAAAGGGUUGCCAACCCGCGAGGGGGAGCCAAUCCCAUAAAGCCAGUCGUAGUCCGGAUCGUAGUCUGCAACUCGACUACGUGAAGUCGGAAUCGCUAGUAAUCGUGGAUCAGAAUGUCACGGUGAAUACGUUCCCGGGUCUU